rnacentral:rRNA from 1 species
CCUGCCUACGGGAGGCAGCAGUGAGGAAUAUUGGUCAAUGGCCGAGAGGCUGAACCAGCCAAGUCGCGUGAGGGAAGACGGCCCUACGGGUUGUAAACCUCUUUUGUCGGGGAGCAAAGCGAGUCACGUGUGACUCAUUGAGAGUACCCGAAGAAAAAGCAUCGGCUAACUCCGUGCCAGCAGCCGCGGUAAUACGGAGGAUGCGAGCGUUAUCCGGAUUUAUUGGGUUUAAAGGGUGCGGAGGCGGAGGAGCACGUCAGCGG